rnacentral:lncRNA from 1 species
UAAAAUUAUAAAAAUUUAAUUUAAUCCUUUAAAAAUAAUAAAAAUAUAACCCCUAAAAUAUUGUUCUAACUUCGCCCCUUAGCCAAAUGCCAUACCUUCACCUUUCGAAUUUCAAGACUAAGAAAUCAACACAUGUAGAAAGCAAGAGAAAGGAAGGAAAUUCAAGCCGAUGUGAAAAUUCGACUGAUCAAAGGUUGGACAGAGCAGCGGUGACUAAGUUUUUUAUGGGAGGAGAAGAGAGAAAGAGGAGAAGGAAAGAAG